AGUUCUGUGCCUAAUUCCCUUUUCCUUCUCCUUUGAAUUGAGGAAACUUGGUCUAGCAGCCUGGGAUGACCAAGUUAGAAAAUCGACCAAAGUCUGGACAGUUAGGAACAAGAGUAGUGUCAGAGAUUAUUCUCUCUCAGAGAGAAAACUGCACACAAAGAAGUGGAAAACGAAACAGGCCAGGACUGAAGCAAGUUUCUUACCUCUCUAGAAACACAAGAAACAAGAAGACAGCAGUUUCUUGGUGCUGCUCUCCUAACUGGAGAUUCUUCCCUCGGACUGUGGCUUGCAGUUCCAGAGCAGAGAAGAUGUUAUUGUUUUCGGUGAAAGUGAAUUGAUGCCGCUCCGGGAGUCUGUAUAUUAUCAAG